GAUGAAGAACGCAGUGAAAUGCGAUAAUUAAUGUGAAUUGCAGAAUUCCGUGAAUCAUCGAGUCUUUGAACGCACAUUGCGCCUCAUGGCAUUCCGUGAGGCAUGCCCAUCUCAGCGUUAGAAAAUAUUCUCAAAUUUUAGUUUUGUGCUAAAAUUUGGAUCAUGUCAAGGAAGCUAUUACUAUUAUUGUGAUCGCUCUUUGGAAAUUGAUAGGUCUUUGAGUUGCUACUCAUAGAACGUGAUGAAUCUUUCUUCGUUCUAUUGUAAUUCACUCUGGUAGUCCUAAAACUUGUAUGCCUGUGGCAUAUCUUGUAAUUUGACCUGAGAUUGGGUAGGGAUACCCGCUGAACUUAAGCAUAUCAUAAGCGGAGGA
rnacentral:misc_RNA from 1 species